rnacentral:rRNA from 1 species
GUCCACGCCCUAAAACGAUGUCAACUAGGUGUUGGGGGGGAGACUUCCUUAGUACCGCAGCUAACGCGUGAAGUUGACCGCCUGGGGAGUACGGUCGCAAGAUUAAAACUCAAAGGAAUUGACGGGGACCCGCACAAGCGGUGGAUUAUGUGGAUUAAUUCGAUGCAACGCGAAAAACCUUACCUACCCUUGACAUGCCAGGAACUUGCCAGAGAUGGCUUGGUGCCCGAAAGGGAACCUGGACACAGGUGCUGCAUGGCUGUCGU